AGCUAACAGAAUGUGAGAAACCAUUAGGAAGGGGAUAGAUAUUACUUUCUUUCUGGGUAGUAAUAAUCCCUUGCCUGAAUUGUUUCUGAUAUUUUCCCUCCUAGUGUACUCAUUUGAGGACCAGAAUAGCACCUCAUAAAGCAGCAGAGUUAAUACCGUUCCCUAAAAAUCUGCUCUGUAAUCUUGUUUAUAUAGAUCUUUCUUUAACUAAAUUAGGUUUGACUUGACAUUAAACUUCCAUUGGUAUUUCACAGGAGCCCUCUGAAUGAAGAUGUUUUUGCUGCAAGAAGCAAAGAGAUGAGCAGUGUCAAUAAAGAGAUAAGAGAAUUGCAAGGACAAAUAUACAAGCUUCUCCUGCAGGUAAAGAGGAUGAAGGAAAAUCUGAAAGUCUCACAAAAUAAUGAAGAUUCUUCACUUACAUCUCUGGAGUCACUUGAAAUUUUGUGUUGCUAACUGCAUUAUCUCUUUUUACUGUUACCUCUAAGACAAUUAAUUCUGCCUUUCUUACAGCCAGUUCAUAGCAAUGAUUCUAGUGGUUAUGGAAGUCUUGGUAGCAAUGGGUCUUACAAACAUUAUAUCAGCAUAGCGUCCUCUAGUGACUCCAAUGUGAAUUGUGCUGAGGAAAUACAACAGAACUAGUAAGUUUAUCAAUAUGACAUUGCCCAGGUAACAAUAGAAAUAUAAUAAUAAAACUGAAAAUUCUCACUGCAGACGUACUCCAUGCAUUGUGAAAUUAUAUUGAAGUGGGAAGAUACAACAAGGCAAAUCAAGUGCUUGAGUUAAAUAUACUUGGAUUGGUCAAACAUACAAAAUUUUUAAAUUGCCAGAGUAGGCAUUUACCUGACUGGAAUUGUCAGAUACCUCAAACAAAGUUAUCAUGUGAAGUAAAUUACAGACAUAUAAUGAUAUAUAGUGACUUGUUUCAGAGAACUGGCAGACUUGACAAAAUAAUGGGGAAACCAUGUUAAAAAGAAAUGGCAUCUAGGGUUAAAAGAAAUGUGCAGGGUCCCCCUAUCAGAAUACAUAUGUGAACAGACAUUCUGUGAAUACAAAUUUUAAAUAUAGUUUCCUCCUAAACAAUAUCCUGGGUAAGUCAUUAACUUGUUCUACCCUUUCAUCUCUGAAGGCUUAUAUCAAUUCAAGAAAAUUAUUCAAAGGCAGAGGUUGUAGACUUUACCAUAGUGAAUCUGAGUGAUAAAAGUCAAGACACGCCAAGCUCAGGCUGACAAGUCCAUCCCUCUAUGCUAGGUUGAAUUGAGGUACCUUAGCACAUUAUUGUGCUUAUGUUUUCCUGUGUUUACUCAUGUUUCCUCAGUCUGACUCCUGUAAUUUUCUCACACCCCCCAGAUGACAUUGCAGCAGGUCUGUGCCAAUGUGAACUGAAUAAAGAAUCUGGGUCAACAGCUGCAUACUAAAUCACAGAGCAGAAAGGAUCCAGUCCUGGAUACUGUACUGCAGGGAGGCAAACAGAACACUGCUUCGUAUAUUCUCCAGGCACUGAGAAGUAACAUGACUGAAGGCCCAGACAGUUCAUCCUGUGAUGAUUCAAGGAAGAUACAACAUAUUCUAGCCUACCAGCAGAUCAGCUGUGUGGACAGUAUCAUCAGAAGUGACUGCAAUAGAAGAUGCCACUGUGGAGCAUGAACAAAUUGAGCUGCCUCCUCUGAAUGCUCAGAGUCCCACUGUGGUUCUUGAGGAAUUUAAGCAAGUUGGACUAACAAAGGAGGUUUUGUCAGCCCACACUCUGAAAGAGGAGCAGAACUACAUUGAUGGGCUCCACCAGAGGAUAUUGUCAUCUCUGUAUAGGUCCUAUCUCUAUCAAGGGAGCAGAAGCAACAGUGGAUUUUCCUAUGGUCAAGGAAGGCACCAGUUGUUCUGUGUGGUAAAUGAAUUAGUAAUUGAGUCUAGUUAUGCAUCUUGUGAUCUAAUCAAUAUCUUACUAGUCCUGCAAAUCCGAGCAGGAUGUUUUCUUCUAACUGCUGGGGCUUAAUAGUAGUCACAGCACAGAAGUCUCUACCCAGUCCUAGAUGCUGCUAUCCUGGACUUGUAUCAGGACAUGUAACUCUUACAAUAAACGCUGCAAAAGGCCACACAGCAGAGUAAUGCCUCCUAUUAUUAGGACUCCAAUACGCUGAAAGAAUAGGUCGGGGUAAGCCUAGGAGAGCAGUCAGAGGGGCUGAUGGGAUAUAGAAGAGGACUGUCUGGGCCUGCUAGCAAAAAUUUUCCUACCCUGACUGGAGAAACUGUCCAGGGGCAUAUUCUGCUAAAUUAACUCUCUGAAUGUGUUGCAUAUUCUCCAUUAUUUCUCUGAAGGCCUGUCUCUGUCUCUCCAUACCUGCUGCUUCAGUGAAUGACUAUUUUUCCUCCCUUUUAGGAGACUCCCCUUCAAAGCAGACCAGCCCAGUUAGCUGUAGAAGAGGCAAAUGUGGGAAACUCAAGUGCCAGAAACCAGUAGAGCCCUCAUACAGGCAUUCAUCUAAUAGAAAUGAUCUUCCACACAAGAAGAGAACAGC